UUAUCAGAUACAUUUAAUGACUAUUGAAGAAAAGGUAUAAAUAUUUAAACCACCAAAGGAUUGCUAUUAAUUUACUCUAUGUAUUUUGCAUCAGCUGUCAUUCUGGCAUUUGCUACCUUUCUAGCAUUCGUCGAUUUCACGCUUGCGAAACCCGAACCGAAACCUGCAACCGGAACUAUGUCUUAAAUAUAAAGGAAUGGAAGCUGCACUAGUGUAAUGAUCUUGUUAAAUAACAUUUUAUUAAAAUAAAA